rnacentral:rRNA from 1 species
UGGGGAAUCUUCCGCAAUGGACGAAAGUCUGACGGAGCAACGCCGCGUGAGUGAAGAAGGUUUUCGGAUCGUAAAACUCUGUCUUUUGGGGCGAACGUGAGUAUGGUGAACAAUCAUAGUCAGUGACGGUACCAAAGGAGGAAGCCACGGCUAACUACGUGCCAGCGGCCGCGGUAAUACGUAGGUGGCAAGCGUUGUCCGGAAUUAUUGGGCGUAAAGAGCGCGUAGGCGGGAUAGUCAGUCUGUUGUAAAAGUGCGGGGCUCAACCCCGUGAUGGCAAUGGAAACAGCUAUUCUUGAGUGCAGGAGAGGAAAGUGGAAUUCCCAGUGUAGCGGUGAAAUGCGUAGAUAUUGGGAGGAACACCAGUGGCGAAGGCGACUUUCUGGACUGUGUCUGACGCUGAGGCGCGAAAGCCAGGGGAGCGAACGGGAUUAGAUACCCUGGUAGUCCUGGCCGUAAACGAUGGGUACUAGGUGUGGGAGGUAUCGACCCCUUCCGUGCCGGAGUUAACGCAAUAAGUACCCCGCCUGGGGAGUACGGUCGCAAGACUGAAACUUAAAGGAAUUGACGGGGUCAUAGCUGUUUCCUG